GACGAACGCUGGCGGCGUGCUUAACACAUGCAAGUCGAACGGAAAGGCCCUGCUUUUGUGGGGUGCUCAAGUGGCGAACGGGUGAGUAACACGUGAGUAACCUGCCCUUGACUUUGGGAUAACUUCAGGAAACUGGGGCUAAUACCGGAUAGGAGCUCCUGCUGCAUGGUGGGGGUUGGAAAGUUUCGGCGGUUGGGGAUGGACUCGCGGCUUAUCAGCUUGUUGGUGGGGUAGUGGCUUACCAAGGCUUUGACGGGUAGCCGGCCUGAGAGGGUGACCGGCCACAUGGGGACUGAGAUACGGCCCAGACUCGUACGGGAGGCAGCAGUGGGGAAUAUUGCACAAUGGGCGAAAGCCUGAUGCAGCAACGCCGCGUGCGGGAUGACGGCCUUCGGGUUGUAAACCUCUUUCGCCUGUGACGAAGCGUGAGUGACGGUAAUGGGUAAAGAAGCACCGGCUAACUACGU
rnacentral:rRNA from 1 species